AUGGUUGAGACCAAACGCGAGCCUGCCGGAGAGGGGUUGCCUGAUGGUUGGUUGAAAGAGUACAGGCCUAGAAAGGCUCGGCAUGGAACUAGGGCCAGGAGGGACAAGUUCUACAUUGAUCCUACAAAUAGCUACGAAUUUCGUUCUCUCAAAGAAGUUCACCACUAUCUCGAAUCCCAAGAUACCAAUGAUCGUGUUGUGACGCCAAACAAGAGAAAAAUUGAGGAUCUGCAGGUUUCAGGGAACCAAACUCAACAUUCUGGACGGACAUCAUCAGAGCCCAAGGGUGUCUCCAAAGGGAGGCUGGCUGAAUUGAAGCUUCAGACGGCAAGAGAGAAAGAUCAGCCUCUGAAGCAUGAAUCUGCUAGAGAAGAAGCAAAUGUGGAGCCCAAGGGGAAGAAGGCAAAAACUGAACCUGUGAAACAGAUUGCUGCACCUGUUCGAUGGUCACCUCGUUUGACUGCACUGAAAAGGGAUCAGGAAGCGAAUGAUGUGCAUGCACUUGUCGGCGCGACAGAUACCAAUGAUCAGUUACAACCAGCAAAGCAAGUCAAAAAUCCUAAAUCGAAGGCGCUUUCCUCUUCAGUAAUUCAGAAUAAAGAUGGAGCACAUGCCCCAAGUACUUCUGGAAAUGCUGAAGACAAGUAUCCUUCAGCUCCUGAACAAAUACUAGGAGCAUCUGCUGCAUGCUCGUUAACAGACGUUGGACGCCAGAAUGCGCAUGCUCCGCCGCAACAGAACGGACUUGUCGGAACAGCUGAUGCUAUGCCCGGAUAUUCCCUGUCGUCGCUGUUUCGAAGUAUCUGGUCAGACCCAUGCCUGGAGUUUGCAUUCAGGACUCUUACAGGUGAUAUCCCUGUCCUUGACAACAACCUAGCCGUUGCAAACUACUUCCUUCCACCACAGGACUCGAACAAAGGGACCGUGCCGCCCAAUUGUCCGUCUUCCACUUAUGAUGGCGCUAGGAAGAACCAUGGCCAAGUCGACCGUGUCAGGCUGCCAAUGCCAAUGCCAAAGCCAUCAGAUAAGCUCUACAGCAGUGGCUGGUUCCCUCCCCAGUGA
rnacentral:rRNA from 1 species